rnacentral:rRNA from 1 species
AUGGCUGAAUGCUUCAAUAGGGUGCUCAAAGGUGCACGUGGAUUACCCGUGACGGCAAUAGUUCAAUACACAUUUGACAAGAUGAAUGCGUACUUUGUAAAGUACUCGAUGGAAACCGAUGCACAGAUAGCGGGUGAGAACCCACGGAAGUACAAGUAUAAGUUCCCACCCAAAGUUGAUGAAUGGUUGCUAUUUCAAUCACGGAAGGCGGACUCAGAAGAAGCUAUAUUAUAUGACAAUGAAGAGUGGAAGUACGAAGUGAAAGAGCCAGGAGGAACCACAAACGAUGACCGGCAACAUGGAGGUCGGGCUUUCAAGGUGUCGUUAACACAAUGUGAUUGCACUUACGGGAGGCCAUUGUUGCUUCAUCUCCCAUGCUCACAUUUGUAUGCCGCCGGCCGCGUUAGGAAUGUGGACAUCAAUCACCCACGCACCAUGAGGGAGUCGGAGUUCUCAAUCAUGACGGUCAAGAAAACAUGGGCUCCCCGCUUUCAUCCAUACUUUGACCAAUCACAAUGGCCGGAGUAUCAUGGAGUUCAACUAUGGCCGGAUCCG